CUCUCGCUGUGUAGUUACCAAGAUGCGUUUGCAAUACUUGCCUAGGUGGCACUUCCAUAAGUGUCAUCAUCUUUAUUUUCAUUAUGAAAAUGCCAAUUCAGGCUCCACAGUGGACGGAGUUCCUGUCUUGUCCGGUAUGUUGUAACGAGUUUGACGUCCUUCAGAGAAGCCCGAUCAGUCUCGGUUGCGGGCACACGAUUUGUAAAACAUGCCUCUCCAAUCUGCACAGAAAGCAAUGUCCUUUCGAUCAGACAACAAUAAGUAUAGACAUAGACUGUCUUCCCGUAAACUCUGCGCUGCUACAACUCGUCGGGGCCACGACAAGUAAGGGAGACGCCGAGGACUACGUCGAUCUCAAAGUGGUGCCCAAGGAGAACUUGCCGCAUUACGUUUCCGCGAAGAAAUGCGUCGAGGAGCUCGCCAUCUACUUGAAACCGUUCUCGAACGGAAACGCGAGCGCCAGCAUACUGUCGCGGCCGAUGCAGAGAAAGCUGGUGACGCUGAUCAAUUGCCAGCUGGUCGAGGACGAGGGCCGCGUGCGAGCCAUGCGCGCGGCACGGUCGCUCGGGGAACGUACCGUCACCGAGCUCAUAUUGCAACAUCAGAAUCCCCAGCAGCUGUCGGCGAAUUUGUGGGCGGCCGUUCGGGCGAGGGGUUGUCAGUUUUUGGGGCCGGCCAUGCAAGAGGAGGUGUUGAAGCUGGUGCUGUUGGCGCUGGAAGACGGUUCGGCUCUGUCUAGGAAGGUUUUGGUGAUGUUCGUUGUGCAGAGGUUGGAGCCUCACUUUCCUCAAGCCUCGAAGACAAGUAUCGGGCAUGUGGUUCAGUUACUUUACAGAGCGUCAUGUUUCAAAGUUUCGAAGCGUGAGGGUGAUUCGUCAUUAAUGCAAUUAAAAGAGGAGUUUCGCACCUAUGAGGCGCUGCGUCGCGAGCACGACGCCCAAAUUGUACAGAUCGCGACCGAGGCCGGCCUGCGAAUUGCGCCCGAUCAGUGGUCGGCCUUGCUCUACGGCGACACCGCUCAUAAGUCGCACAUGCAGAGCAUCAUCGAUAAGUUACAAACGCCACAGUCGUUCGCCCAGUCGGUUCAGGAGCUCGUAAUCGCCUUACAGAGAACGGGCGAUCCUGGAAAGCUAUCGAUCCUGAGACCUCAUCUCGAACUUCUUGCCGGAAUUGAUCCUAGUCCAGAGUCCUCGAUACCAUUGUGGAAAGAGUGCAGUGAGGUUUUGCUCGCCGUCAAGCAAGUGGUGGCGGGAUUGGUCGACUUCAUUCAUCAGCACGGCAGCCGUAAACUGCAGGACUCCGCCCACUCGCAGCAUGCGAAGUACAAAAUUAGCAUGUGUCGCGAUCUCACGUUGAGGGGCAGCUGCCCGCGCGGUUCCAAUUGUACAUUUGCGCACUCUAAUGAGGAACUUGAAAAAUCUACGUCUAGGUAUCGUGCAAAGAAUCGCAAAUCCGUCGUACGCAAUGGCACUUCGAGAGAGCACAUAGACAGUCAAUCUCCAACCGAACGCUCGUAUAAUCAAGUAGAAGACUACUAUCCAAUAGCAAACACGGCAACUACAGUAAGUCCCGUUCCAAUACCGGCCGUAGUCUCGCUCCCGCGAAUCAACUACGAUGUACCUUACAACCCGAGCUUUUCGAAUAACUCGCACUAUUCCACGCCGCAAUUGUACGGGACGAACGCGUCAAGUUAUCCGGAAAUAUACGGAAACACGCCUCAGAACGUGGUGCUCACAAACGGCGGUCAAUUUUAUCCGCCCCAACCGGAUUACGCCACCACCGCGCCGAUUAAUCAGCAGACGAUCGAGUACGCGAGACGGCCCAAUUGGGAUCAAAUGAUCAAUAAGAACCAAACGAAUUUGCAACAGAUAUCGAAGAACCGAAGCCUGACCAGUUUGGCCGAGCUGCAGCAGAGAAAGCAGGAGGUCAUCUCCCAACUGGAAAAGGUGGUCGGAAAGAACGCGGCGAUUACGAUUUCGAACACGGCCACGAACCUGGCGCUGCAAGAGUCGUACGAUUUGGAUUCGCCGUACACGUUCUGGACCGGUCAGAUCAAUUCGGGACCGACGUUUGUGCGGUCCGACUCGAUACUGAAGGACGACGAGUACGUGCCCUACGACGCGCCAUGCGUGAGCAAAUUUGGCCCGAUUUCGAGGAUGCACAAGGAGAAUGUACCCACGAACCAGGUCUCGACGCAGUUUCGUGAGCCGCCAAUUUCCACCUCGAUGGUGCGUCGUCCCGUGUCCGCACCCAGUCCCGUCACGCCCUGGUACUAUGGCAAUCCUCAAGCGUACCAUCAGAGCGGAAUCGCGCCCACCUACGUCACGUCGGCGGGCUCCGGCAUCGGCGACGGAUACGUUACUAUAGGUUCACCGCAGGUCAUCAUACAGAGAAUGCAGGAUCCCUCGAAGGAGCUGCUCGCCGAGUCGCAGAGGGUGAAAAUGCAACUUCGCAACUUGGAGAGGCAGCUGGACGAUUUAAAGUUGGCAACGCAAGGGGUCGCGAGCUUGAGCGAGGGCGAUCGGCUGACCCAGGAGUUGCACUUAAUCGAGCAGGGCAUUCAAGAGAAACAGAAGGAGGCGUGUUUGAAUAAAAUCGUCUCGUCUCUCAACCAAGCGAUGAACCACUACCGAAACGGAAGCGCCGGUCUCGGAAUGACGGAGGAGGCGAUGUACGAGGAGGACAUAGCAAACGACAUGCGCGAGUUGGAGUUGCGCUGGCAGGAGGAGCUCGAGGAACAGGAGACGGGCUGGAGCAGCGAGGACGACUUUAAGAAGUAAAUUCAACCCAAUGGGUUUAGUUUUGACAUCCCCCCCCCCUUCCUUAGUCCUUUAUACACGUCAUGACAUGCGCAGUUUCGGCAAAAAACCCGAAAUAAAACCUGGCUCCCACGAAUCAAGUUUAAAAAAAAUUUGAUGAUCUAAUUUCCAGUUUUAUUGGAAUCUGGGACUACACUAAGUGUUGUGCACAAAAAUGGUCUCUGAAUUUUUAGAAAUGAAUGGCUUUGCAUGUGGUUAAGUCUUUUAUCAUACUGUGUGUGAUUGGUAUAUCAAUACUGUCAGUUGAUAUUUUCUUUUUAGUAUGCAUUUGUUUGAAAAUGCAAAUAUUUAUCUCAUCAUUUUAAAGUAAUUUUAUACGAGUGACCUCUGCAGCUGGAUUCGAGAGCAAUCUUGAACUUUUUUUUUAAAAGUUAUUCGAGACUCUUAGGUACUUACGCCUGACUGACAAAAGUGUUCAUUUGAACUCGGAGUUCAACCAUUAACGGGCGAAGAUGUUUUAUUGUUAUGUAUUAAGCUGAUAACCCUUAACCUUAAUUAUUUAUUCUUAUUUUUAAAGAAUUGUUAAUUGCAUUACGUCUGUUGGCACUGUCGCAUGACGGUGGUGUGUUCUAAUUAAUUGCUUUUAUAAAGACACUGCGUAUGAAAAGUUUAAUAUAUGCGAUGAUGAGUAAGUAAGCCGUCGUAUGUAACGGUACGGCAUAUUUCGAGUUUUAUCAAAUUUGCAAUAUAUGGUUUAGGCUGUGUCAUUGUUUUUACCAUUGUACGUGUGCAGCAGCGCAGCCAACAGUGAAGAGGGCGUGGUGGGCGGAUCCGAUUGGUGCAAUUCAGUGGUAUAAUAAUAGACUCCUAUGUAAUUGUUGUUAUUCUUUUUUUACAUGGAUUUACACCAUUCAAAUUUGGACUUAUGUUUACCUUAUUUGGUAUUAUGUGGUGCGGUUAAUUUAAUUGCUGGCAGAAUAACAGAAAAAAUCAGCGCAAUAGUAACAGUCGACUCGGCUGUAGAUGUUCCCGGACUAAGGACUGAGUAAAUUUGUUUCACAUUUUGUAUAUAUGGUGUUGUCGCGGUGCGUUUGUAUUAUGAUCACAAAGGACAAUGCGAGCAAUAUUGUUAGGGUGUGCAAUAUCAUUGUUUAAAUGGCAAUACCAAAUUAUACCUAUACCUUGAGAGCUUCCACCCUGUAUAUACAACUUACGACCUUGGAUGAAAAAAUAACUGGAUUGCUAGGAAAGUCAAAUUUAUGAAGCCAACAUCUACAGCGCCAUCACAGGGCAGUUGUGCGUUUUGUGAAAUGAAAUUUGACACACGCACAGAAUAAGAAGAAGGCCAUAUUCUGUGGACACACGUCAAUGUUACGAGAUUUAAUUUGGGUGUUUUAUAGUGAUUUAAUGUAAUUUUGUGUUUGUUAGUCGUGUUACUUUUAUAGAAUUAAUUAAAAAUGAGACGCUGAA